UGAUCAAAUAAAAUAUGAUAAUGGUUUUCUUUCUAUCGAAAAAUACUUUUUAUCUUUUUCAAAAUCAUAAAUAGAUAUCAUUUGAAGGAAAAAGAUGAUCGAAGAUCUAUGAAGAAGAUUACUGCGAUAAUAAUUCAUGAUCAUUUUUACGAUCUUUGUUAUUAGAAACCUCAACUAUUUUCUCGAUAUUUCACGUUUCUUAGAAUUUCCUUGUUCAUAAUUCUUCUUUACUUCUUUUCUCAAAGCCACGAAGACACGAUCUUGCGCAUUUCGCAGUUAUCACGCAAACUGGUUGACGCCACCUGACCACUUCCACGGAGUUCAGACUCCGCUACUCCUCUGUGUCUCGACCUCCAGCCCAAACAAGGUUACUCCAAUCGAACCUGAAUGACGACUUUGCGACGAAGAUCAAGAUCAAGAAGAUUGUUAACGCCCACCUCUCAUUGUAAGUUCCAGUUAAUUACAAGGAGGGGUGAGAAGAGAGAAGGCACGUUUAUAGCAGGUAAUCUCGCUUUACCGAGACGAUUAGCCCUGGUGAGUGAAAGUAGUUGAAUAUUCUGUAGAUUUAUGUUCACUGAGAAUAUUACUUUAUUGUAUUAUUACAAUCGAAAUUUGAAAGAUGUAUGAGAUAAAAAUUCUAUACAGAUAUUAAUGAUAAAUUAAUAAUAAUUUAUUAAAAGUCUUA